ACAUAUCCCCGAUGGUAGCGGCAUCCUUUUUGUUUUGACGCUCGGUCGGCUCCGCUUCGCUCCGCCGCCUCACGUCAAAACAAAAAGAUAUAGCGAACAGCGGGUGAGAAA
rnacentral:sRNA from 2 species